UAAAAAUAACAUUAAAAUGUAUCAUUUAUACUCUAUGAUAAGCUAGUAUAUUUGUAUUGCUAAUCUGUGAUCUGCGUCAUAUUAACUAAUCUGUGGCUUGUAGUAUUGUUGUAAAUACAAAUUAUUGGAACGAUUUUUGGCUAUAAUAAAUUUUGCGUUUUUAGUACAAAAAUAACCUUGAAAAAUAUCAUUUUCAAUUUCGAUUUUCACAAAAACUACGCAUUUUAGUUGGAAAAGAAAAGCAGUUUGUUAAGAAAAUCCACUACCAGCUAUCGACUAAACAGCAAAAAAUAAUGAAAUUCGGGGACAUCGAAUCAAAUAUGCAGCC